rnacentral:rRNA from 1 species
GCAUAUCAAUAAGCGGAGGAAAAGAAACCAACAGGGCAUUGCCCCAGUAACGGCGAGUGAAGCGGCAAUAGCUCAAAUUUGAAAUCCGGCCCUCGGGUCUGAGUUGUAAUUUGAAGAGGAUGCCUCGGUGCGGGCCCCCGAUCGAAGUUCCUUGGAACAGGACGUCAUAGAGGGUGAGAAUCCCGUCUGUGGUCGGUGGCCCCUACCGUGUGAGGCUCCUUCGACGAGUCGAGUUGUUUGGGAAUGCAGCUCUAAAUGGGAGGUAAAUUUCUUCCAAGGCUAAAUAUCAGCCAGAGACCGAUAGCGCACAAGUAGAGUGAUCGAAAGGUGAAAAGCACUUUGAAAAGAGGGUUAAAAAGCACGUGAAAUUGUUGAAAGGGAAGCGCUUGCCACCAGAGUUGUCCGGGGGGUUCAGCCGACCUUCUGGCUCGGUGUACUUCCUCUCGGGCAGGCCCGCAUCAGUUCGGCCGGCCGUGUAAAGGCCGCGGGAAUGUAGCACCCUCGGGUGUGUUAUAGCCCGCGGUGCAAUACGGCCUGGCUGGACUGAGGUCCGCGCUUCGGCAAGGAUGCGGGCGUAAUGGUGGUCAGCGGCCCGUCUUGAAACACGGACCAAGGAGUCUAACAUCUGUGCGAGUGUUCGGGUGUCAAACCCGUGAGCGUAAUGAAAGUGAACGGAGGUGGGAGCCCUCGGGCGCACCAUCGACCGAUCCUGAUGUCCUCGGAUGGAUUUGAGUAUGAGCAUAGCUGUUGGGACCCGAAAGAUGGUGAACUAUGCGUGAAUAGGGUGAAGCCAGAGGAAACUCUGGUGGAGGCUCGCAGCGGUUCUGACGUGCAAAUCGAUCGUCAAAUUUGCGCAUAGGGGCGAAAGACUAAUCGAACCGUCUAGUAGCUGGUUCCUGCCG